rnacentral:rRNA from 1 species
GGGUUGUGAGGUUAAGCGACUAAGCGUACACGGUGGAUGCCCUGGCAGUCAGAGGCGAUGAAGGACGUGCUAAUCUGCGAUAAGCGUCGGUAAGGUGAUAUGAACCGUUAUAACCGGCGAUUUCCGAAUGGGGAAACCCAGUGUGUUUCGACACACUAUCAUUAACUGAAUCCAUAGGUUAAUGAGGCGAACCGGGGGAACUGAAACAUCUAAGUACCCCGAGGAAAAGAAAUCAACCGAGAUUCCCCCAGUAGCGGCGAGCGAACGGGGAGGAGCCCAGAGCCUGAAUCAGUGUGUGUGUUAGUGGAAGCGUCUGGAAAGGCGCGCGAUACAGGGUGACAGCCCCGUACACAAAAAUGCACAUACUGUGAGCUCGAUGAGUAGGGCGGGACACGUGGUAUCCUGUCUGAAUAUGGGGGGACCAUCCUCCAAGGCUAAAUACUCCUGACUGACCGAUAGUGAACCAGUACCGUGAGGGAAAGGCGAAAAGAACCCCGGCGAGGGGAGUGAAAAAGAACCUGAAACCGUGUACGUACAAGCAGUGGGAGCACGCUUAGGCGUGUGACUGCGUACCUUUUGUAUAAUGGGUCAGCGACUUAUAUUCUGUAGCAAGGUUAACCGAAUAGGGGAGCCGAAGGGAAACCGAGUCUUAACUGGGCGUUAAGUUGCAGGGUAUAGACCCGAAACCCGGUGAUCUAGCCAUGGGCAGGUUGAAGGUUGGGUAACACUAACUGGAGGACCGAACCGACUAAUGUUGAAAAAUUAGCGGAUGACUUGUGGCUGGGGGUGAAAGGCCAAUCAAACCGGGAGAUAGCUGGUUCUCCCCGAAAGCUAUUUAGGUAGCGCCUCGUGAAUUCAUCUCCGGGGGUAGAGCACUGUUUCGGCAAGGGGGUCAUCCCGACUUACCAACCCGAUGCAAACUGCGAAUACCGGAGAAUGUUAUCACGGGAGACACACGGCGGGUGCUAACGUCCGUCGUGAAGAGGGAAACAACCCAGACCGCCAGCUAAGGUCCCAAAGUCAUGGUUAAGUGGGAAACGAUGUGGGAAGGCCCAGACAGCCAGGAUGUUGGCUUAGAAGCAGCCAUCAUUUAAAGAAAGCGUAAUAGCUCACUGGUCGAGUCGGCCUGCGCGGAAGAUGUAACGGGGCUAAACCAUGCACCGAAGCUGCGGCAGCGACGCUUAUGCGUUGUUGGGUAGGGGAGCGUUCUGUAAGCCUGUGAAGGUGUGCUGUGAGGCAUGCUGGAGGUAUCAGAAGUGCGAAUGCUGACAUAAGUAACGAUAAAGCGGGUGAAAAGCCCGCUCGCCGGAAGACCAAGGGUUCCUGUCCAACGUUAAUCGGGGCAGGGUGAGUCGACCCCUAAGGCGAGGCCGAAAGGCGUAGUCGAUGGGAAACAGGUUAAUAUUCCUGUACUUGGUGUUACUGCGAAGGGGGGACGGAGAAGGCUAUGUUGGCCGGGCGACGGUUGUCCCGGUUUAAGCGUGUAGGCUGGUUUUCCAGGCAAAUCCGGAAAAUCAAGGCUGAGGCGUGAUGACGAGGCACUACGGUGCUGAAGCAACAAAUGCCCUGCUUCCAGGAAAAGCCUCUAAGCAUCAGGUAACAUCAAAUCGUACCCCAAACCGACACAGGUGGUCAGGUAGAGAAUACCAAGGCGCUUGAGAGAACUCGGGUGAAGGAACUAGGCAAAAUGGUGCCGUAACUUCGGGAGAAGGCACGCUGAUAUGUAGGUGAAGCGACUUGCUCGUGGAGCUGAAAUCAGUCGAAGAUACCAGCUGGCUGCAACUGUUUAUUAAAAACACAGCACUGUGCAAACACGAAAGUGGACGUAUACGGUGUGACGCCUGCCCGGUGCCGGAAGGUUAAUUGAUGGGGUCAGCGCAAGCGAAGCUCUUGAUCGAAGCCCCGGUAAACGGCGGCCGUAACUAUAACGGUCCUAAGGUAGCGAAAUUCCUUGUCGGGUAAGUUCCGACCUGCACGAAUGGCGUAAUGAUGGCCAGGCUGUCUCCACCCGAGACUCAGUGAAAUUGAACUCGCUGUGAAGAUGCAGUGUACCCGCGGCAAGACGGAAAGACCCCGUGAACCUUUACUAUAGCUUGACACUGAACAUUGAGCCUUGAUGUGUAGGAUAGGUGGGAGGCUUAGAAGUGUGGACGCCAGUCUGCAUGGAGCCGACCUUGAAAUACCACCCUUUAAUGUUUGAUGUUCUAACGUUGACCCGUAAUCCGGGUUGCGGACAGUGUCUGGUGGGUAGUUUGACUGGGGCGGUCUCCUCCUAAAGAGUAACGGAGGAGCACGAAGGUUGGCUAAUCCUGGUCGGACAUCAGGAGGUUAGUGCAAUGGCAUAAGCCAGCUUGACUGCGAGCGUGACGGCGCGAGCAGGUGCGAAAGCAGGUCAUAGUGAUCCGGUGGUUCUGAAUGGAAGGGCCAUCGCUCAACGGAUAAAAGGUACUCCGGGGAUAACAGGCUGAUACCGCCCAAGAGUUCAUAUCGACGGCGGUGUUUGGCACCUCGAUGUCGGCUCAUCACAUCCUGGGGCUGAAGUAGGUCCCAAGGGUAUGGCUGUUCGCCAUUUAAAGUGGUACGCGAGCUGGGUUUAGAACGUCGUGAGACAGUUCGGUCCCUAUCUGCCGUGGGCGCUGGAGAACUGAGGGGGGCUGCUCCUAGUACGAGAGGACCGGAGUGGACGCAUCACUGGUGUUCGGGUUGUCAUGCCAAUGGCACUGCCCGGUAGCUAAAUGCGGAAGAGAUAAGUGCUGAAAGCAUCUAAGCACGAAACUUGCCCCGAGAUGAGUUCUCCCUGACUCCUUGAGAGUCCUGAAGGAACGUUGAAGACGACGACGUUGAUAGGCCGGGUGUGUAAGCGCAGCGAUGCGUUGAGCUAACCGGUACUAAUGAACCGUGAGGCUUAACCUUACAACGCCGAAGCUGUU